rnacentral:lncRNA from 1 species
CUUUCUUUCAGAGAUGCCCUGCCCAGUGAGAAGGAAUCUAGAGAGGCAGUCACUUUGCUGCACUGUGGUCUCUCUAGCAGUCUGACACCUUCAAUAAGAGACAGUCACAUCUAUUCUUUCUGAAGACAACUACCUGGAGGAUUCAUCUACGUGACAAGAACCUUGGCUUCCACAACAACCCCCUUACCUUAUCUCAAGCUGAUUUCAACUCUUCAGGCAGAGCUUAACCCUUUCAACCAAUUGCCAAUCAGGAAAUCUUUGAAUCCACCCAUGACUUGUAAGUUCCCCCACUUGCAGUUGCCCAACCUUUCUGCACUGAACCAAUGCAUAUCUCACAUAUUGAUAUGUCUUAUGUCUCCCUAAAACACAUAAAACCAAGCUGUAACCCAACUACCUUGGGCAUGUGUGCUCAAGGCUGUGGUCAUGGAUCAUGAUCCUUAAUCUUUGCAAAAUAAACUUUUAAAUUCAUUGAGA